AGGAGUGGAGAGGUGCUUCUCUACUAAGGUGUAGCCAUGGAUGAUUGCAAUGUAUUGGAGAACGUGAGUGUAUAUUGAGAGGCCUGAGUACUGACUACUGUAUUGUGCGCGUCGUGCAGCAGGAGGAUGCAGUAUUCUCCCCCAACGUACUGUGUAUAGCUGUUGACGUUAGACUCCACUGAAGGCCUAGUAGCUGCCUGUCCUUAGCUGCUCGAACAGAUCUAAGAGAUACCCCAAGUAGUGCUCUGCAGAAUGUAUAGAACAUCCCUGUACACCAUGCAGGUGCUUAUGUGUGCAGCCGAGUGUGUGUGUGCAGCCGAGUGUGUGUGUGAGUUGUACACAUGUAUGUUUGUGUGUGUGUGUGCGCGCGGGUGUGCAUGUUUUAAUGUGUGUCAGUGGAGCCAGAUCAUUUGAGGAGGAUAUGCUGAGUGUAACGCCACUAAACCACACUACGCACUGUAGUACUGUAGUACUGUAUUACUGUAGUACUGUAGUGCUGUAUGCUGUAGCGCUGUAGUCACACAGUACUGAUAACCACUCAGACACAAACACACACUAAGCACUGCCCCCGCAGCCACGGCCACUGUGUAGUGUCCAGAUGUUUCAUAGAGUGUGUCGAACAAGGUACCUAACCUCAAAAGGGUCAGUCCAAAAUUCCAAAUACAUUACAGAUAAGGUAUCUAUAGUAGUCUCCCAUUCAUCAUGGAGUACUUUUUUUAUUUCCUGUUUGACUUAUGUUUGGUAGUAUACAUUGAUGUUUAAAGGUUUCAUUUUUAAUUAAAUUGUCAUGUCCUUCAUAAUUUGUUUCAAAUACUUUUGAAAUGUUUUCUUAGUUAUUUUUUCUGUUUAAUUGCAGGUACAGUGUGAAUGCAUGGAAAUAAGUGCUGUAAACCUUAAACUGUUUUAUGGUUAGUGUCUUUUUUUAAAUGUUGUCAUCCAAUUGUUAUAUCAAAAAGGACAAAUUGAGAUUUGUUUUUGUUGUUGUGGAGCAUUAAUGAUUAUUGUGGUUGUUUGACACAACGCAUAUGUUGUGAAUAUCCCCUAAUUUAAGGAGGUCUCUUAAGUGCCUUGUUUUUCUCAAACUAUUGGAAAUUCCAGUCAGCCAGUGCUUAUGGGGAAAUGUAGUUCAUUAGAGUGAGGGUCAAACUGUGAUCAAUUCACAAACAGGCUGGCCACUGUACUUAACACUAAGUGUGUUAGACUAAAUCAUGUUUCUCACCCAUAACUUUCUGCAUCUUAGCCCACCUAUUGAAAAGUGAUCUUGUGUCCAAUUGGAUUCCUUUGUGUGCCUUAUCUAUCGUUUCCGCAUGUUUCUCUAGCUACUCCUCAUCUUCCUUUUCCUUCUGUUUCUCCCUUCCCCCUUCUCUCCUUUUCCCUGCAGUGUGGGGUUUUGAUCACAUGAUUGUAGUCUUUUUUAUUCUGGUGAGGUAAAUUGUGACAGGUUGUCACCACUGUGACCCUCUACUGUGACCAAUAAAGUUG